GAUGAACGCUGGCGGCGUGCCUAAUACAUGCAAGUCGAGCGAACAGAUGAGGAGCUUGCUCCUCUGACGUUAGCGGCGGACGGGUGAGUAACACGUGGAUAACCUACCUAUAAGACUGGGAUAACUUCGGGAAACCGGAGCUAAUACCGGAUAAUAUAUUGAACCGCAUGGUUCACUAGUGAAAGACGGUUUUGCUGUCACUUAUAGAUUGAUCCGCGCCGCAUUAGCUAGUUGGUAAGGUAACGGCUUACCAAGGCAACGAUGCGUAGCCGACCUGAGAGGGUGAUCGGCCACACUGGAACUGAGACACGGUCCAGACUCCUACGGGAGGCAGCAGUAGGGAAUCUUCCGCAAUGGGCGAAAGCCUGACGGAGCAACGCCGCGUGAGUGAUGAAGGUCUUCGGAUCGUAAAACUCUGUUAUUAGGGAAGAACAAAUGUGUAAGUAACUAUGCACGUCUUGACGGUACCUAAUCAGAAAGCCACGGCUAACUACGUG
rnacentral:rRNA from 1 species